rnacentral:rRNA from 1 species
GACGAACGCUGGCGGCGUGCUUAACACAUGCAAGUCGAACGGAAAGGCCCUGCUUUUGUGGGGUGCUCGAGUGGCGAACGGGUGAGUAACACGUGAGUAACCUGCCCUUGACUUUGGGAUAACUUCAGGAAACUGGGGCUAAUACCGGAUAGGAGCUCCUGCUGCAUGGUGGGGGUUGGAACGUUUCGGCGGUUGGGGAUGGACUCGCGGCUUAUCAGCUUGUUGGUGGGGUAGUGGCUUACCAAGGCUUUGACGGGUAGCCGGCCUGAGAGGGUGACCGGCCACAUUGGGACUGAGAUACGGCCCAGACUCCUACGGGAGGCAGCAGUGGGGAAUAUUGCACAAUGGGCGGAAGCCUGAUGCAGCAACGCCGCGUGCGGGAUGACGGCCUUCGGGUUGUAAACCGCUUUCGCCUGUGACGAAGCGGGAGUGACGGUAAUGGGUAAAGAAGCACCGGCUAACUACGUG